AAUGAACGUUGGCGGCAUGGAUUAGGCAUGCAAGUCGAGCGAGAAGUGUAGCAAUACACGGAAAGCGGCGGAAGGGAGAGUAAUACGUGGGAAUCUGCCCUUAGACCUGGGAUAGCAGCGGGAAACUGCUGGUAAUACCAGAUAAUGUCUAUGGACCAAAGGUGUGAUUCCGUCUAGGGAUGAGCCCACGUCCUAUUAGCUAGUUGGUAGGGUAAUGGCCUACCAAGGCGAUGAUGGGUAGCGGGUGUGAGAGCAUGACCCGCCUCACUGGGACUGAAACACUGCCCAGACACCUACGGGUGGCUGCAGUCGAGAAUGUUCGGCAAUGGGCGCAAGCCUGACCGAGCGAUGCCGCGUGCGGGAUGAAGGCCUUCGGGUUGUAAACCGCUGUCGAGGGGGAGCAACUUCCAUAGAGUUAUCUUUAUGGAUUGAGUGAUCCCUGGAGGAAGGACGGGCUAAGUUCGUGCCAGCAGCCGCCGUAAGAC
rnacentral:rRNA from 1 species